AAAUUGAAGAGUUUGAUCAUGGCUCAGAUUGAACGCUGGCGGCAGGCCUAACACAUGCAAGUCGAACGGUAGCACAGAGAGCUUGCU
rnacentral:rRNA from 1 species